rnacentral:rRNA from 1 species
GUGGGGAAUCUUCCGCAAUGGGCGAAAGCCUGACGGAGCAACGCCGCGUGAGUGAAGAAGGGUUUCGGCUCGUAAAGCUCUGUUGACGGGGACGAAUGUGCGAAAUGCGAAUAGUUUUUCGCAAUGACGGUACCCGUCGAGGAAGCCACGGCUAACUACGUGCCAGCAGCCGCGGUAAUACGUAGGUGGCGAGCGUUGUCCGGAAUUAUUGGGCGUAAAGGGAGCGCAGGCGGGAAGGCAAGUCAGUCUUAAAAGUGCGGGGCUCAACCCCGUGAUGGGAUUGAAACUGUCUUUCUUGAGUGCAGGAGAGGAAAGCGGAAUUCCUAGUGUAGCGGUGAAAUGCGUAGAUAUUAGGAGGAACACCAGUGGCGAAGGCGGCUUUCUGGACUGUAACUGACGCUGAGGCUCGAAAGCGUGGGGAGCGAACAGG